CUGAAAUCAAAAAUUGUUAGCUAACUCAACAACAAAUAUACAGCCACACAGGACUUGCUAAACUUCAAAGACCUAGACCCAAGGUUCCGAACUCAAUACAUCUCUGAAGAAGAGACCUAGACCUUAAAGGAAAUUCAACACCAGCAAAUCUGUAGCCCAACGGACUGCAGUGAUGGAAAAUGAUAACAUGGAUGUGGUGCUAAAGCCCAAAAGAAAAUUCUGGCCAGUUUCUACAAGGAAAUCACAUGCACAGCACCAAGAACUUCAUUGUCAUCCACAUCUUAUUUUAUGCCACAGUUUAGAGAAGCAGUGGCCACUGAACUCAAUGUUUACAUUUACAUGCCAUAUAUAGAUCAUGGAGAAAAUCCACUGAAAUGCUGUUAAGAUCCACAAAGUAAACUUCCCUAGGUAGCAUUGAAAUAUCUAGGCAUACAAGCAACGAGCUCUACAUCAGAGAGAGCUUUUUGCACUAGUGGUAAUGUUGUGUCGAAUCAACACUCUGAAACCAGACAAGGUGGAUAUGCUUGUCUUUUUGGCAAAGAACCUCUAAUGUGCUAAGUUUAAUUUAGAAAGAGGAUUUGGAAGUACCAGUUGGUCAUUAAAAAAAAAAAAAAAAAAAAACGUUUUGAGUUUGAGUGAACCAUAAUUUUAUAUACAGUUUCCAAAAGAAGUUUAUACAGAGUACGUUACAUCCUGCGUUAAUGUCCCUGUUUGUUUGGACAAAAUGUUUAAAAUGUCAUAUUUUUGUGAAAAUGUGUAUGUUUUUAUAAAAACAAAUUAUUUCAGCUAUAAUAAAAAAAAUGUUGUUAA